rnacentral:rRNA from 1 species
UACGAAGGGGGCUAGCGUUGCUCGGAAUCACUGGGCGUAAAGCGCACGUAGGCGGACUCUUAAGUCGGUGGUGAAAUCCUGGAGCUCAACUCCAGAACUGCCUUCGAUACUGAGAGUCUCGAGUCCGGGAGAGGUGAGUGGAACUCCGAGUGUAGAGGUGAAAUUCGUAGAUAUUCGGAAGAACACCAGUGGCGAAGGCGGCUCACUGGCCCGGUACUGACGCUGAGGUGCGAAAGCGUGGGGAGCAAACAGGG